GCCCCCGUGGUGGAAUUGGACUACACACUCCGUUUGCAGCGGAGCGGCUUCUCACGGCCUUGCGGGUUCGAGUCCCGCCGGGGGCA
rnacentral:tRNA from 1 species